GAUUGAUUGAUGUGUGUUAUUAUUUAA
rnacentral:sRNA from 1 species